AUCAAAGACCAAGCCGGCGCGAAGGCCCCGCCCCCAGCAGGGCGGUCCCGCCCCGCCCGCCUCCGCGGGGUGCUGGGCGGGCCUCGCUGCGGCGCGCGCUGCCCCCGCCGCCUGGGGCUCGGAGCCUCCCGUGCGCGCCUGGCACCGGGCACCGCCCGCCCCCGGCGUGCUCAGAGUCGGCCUGCUCGGGCAGGAGCCGGGAGCAGCGUCGCGGUGGCCAUCUCCCUUUGGAGGUGCUGAGCACGGGGGCUGUCCGUGGUGGUGCCUGCAGGGUCACGUGGCCGUUCGCCUUCACAACGAGGAACCGCAUCCUGUGUCAGGACAGCGGUUUCUAUGUGGAAUAAACCUGGUGCAGUACUCAUCAAAGCAAUCCAGUUAAAACUGCUGAAUGAUCUUACAGGCUCAGUGGGGAUUACCAUCGUGUUAAGAGCUUUUAAAAUGAGGGCUGUCUGGAAACGUAUGACCUGUGAGGUUGCCUGUAGGAGAUGAAAAGCGAGGACAGGAACAGCCCGCAGCAAUGCAUGGAAGAAUAUAAGAAGGUUGCCUGAACUUGCAGGCUGUGAGGAACUAUAGCCUGCUACAGAGCACCUGCCCUGUAGCUCACAAAGAGUUUCUGGGCGUGAUGCAGAAUUCUGUGACUUUGGGAUUAAUUCGGCCAAGAAUGCCAGCAUCUCCUUAAAUCCUGUUGACUUCAUUGGCAUGUGACACAAUCAAGAAAGCUGUUAUAUGAGCUGUCAAGUAUUGCUGAUCAUCGGUGUGUUUUGGUUGAUUGGAAGAGUGAUGUGUUUUGUUUUGUCACACUGGAUGUGUUUUGGGGUCAAAGUGGUCUCUUAUUCGUGAGAUUACUGUGACUUGGAUCCUGGUUCAAUACCCCAGGCACCACGUGUAACAACAGCGAGCUAUUCCCACUAUAUUUUGGAAUGGAUGCACCUAAAUAUUUGGGUAGCUAGUGUCACACAACUCUAGCAAAAUGAGAAUUCCUCUCGCAUUUUUCUCCCCCUGAUAGAUAUCAUAUUCGUGCGGCUGAAACCUGACAGCCUGCUGUGGUAGGGCCAGCACCUGCACUCUGACAAUAGUUUUUCAGCCCAAACUGUAUCUUUGCUCACACAUAUCUGAUGUGUCUCGAAUCCCUUCUGCUUUUGCCUCUACUUCUCAGAAAAAUUAGCCUUAAUAGUGACUCCUGUGUCUGACAUACCUGGAAAAAAACACAGAUGCAAGGAAUGGAAAUGGUUGCAUUCCUGUCCUUUACUAGGGAGAAAAAGUUGACUUUUCUAGCAGUUAGGAAUAUUUGCUUAGAAAGGCUUUGAGGAACAAAUACUUAAGUCUUCAACUAAAAAAAGGAAUAGGAAUAGGAAUUAUUGAAAUGUAAUCUAAAAAGUAAAGUAAAAAGCCUUUAAGACUUGCCCUAGCGGAUUUAAAAUUUUGAACUGUUUCCCAAGAGAAACAGAAAGAACAUCUUACGGUGGCAUUCAUAAAAUCCUCAGACAGCUGUGGUCCAAUGAGUCAUAGCUCCUCAAAGCCUCAGUGUUUUCAGAAUAUUGCAGCACACCCACUUCUCAAAUUACAGGGGAUCUUAACCUGAAAUACUGACCAGUGGUAGUAAUAGCAACUGGAAAGCACCUUUGGUUCAAUUCAUGUCCUGCUUAAGUUGUUUUCAUUGUUCUCUGCAUCACUAGAUUUUCUUUGUGCAUACUGCACAUCGCUUAAAAUCCUGUGUGCAUUCUGGAAAUGUCAUUAUAAGUAACUUUGAAUUAUCUCCGGUAAAUGCUUUCUGGUUAUCAUAAGCUCUCCAGUAUAUCUAUAUGUGGUUUCACCGAAACAAAAUGCUGAGGAAGAGCCUGAAUCAUAUCUGAGCAUAAAAAUGUGUAUAUAUUUACAAAUUUGGAAUUAUACUAAUACUUUUGCAGCUAUAAGCAACUGCUUUGAAAGUUAAUUAUUCUUACAGCAGUAUGAGUGCAUCGCUUGAUGUAUUUUUUCCUGAAAUGUUUUAAUGGUGUUUCAGCAUCUUGCAGCACAAGCUUCAGAAGACGGGAAAAUUUAUGCUCUUUUUUGUUACUUCUCACCCACAGACCUUACAUAUUAUAUAAAUAGGAUGAAGUUUGUCUUGUGUUACUGUCCCAAGUCUCUCCAGCAGAGACAAAUGCUAUCCAGAAAGAUGAGAUGGGAGGAGAAGCCUCACCCCAUAAUCUUGCCUGCUGCCGUACCCUUUGCUGCUCAAAAUCUCCAAUGACACUGUGAUGGUCUCCUGUCCUAGCCAAGCCUAGGGGCAGUACUGGGGCUCAUUAGAGGAGUAGGGUCUCAGUGUUCGCAUUAAUUCAUUGGCCUUCUCCUCAUCAAAAAGCUAUGCAGCAAUGGUAAAAGCCCUGUAGGGACAAAAUGGACAUUAAUACACAAAGUGCUGGGAAAUACUGGAAAUGAGGAGCUUCUUUCUAGAGAGAUCAUGAUGCUUAAGAUUUGAACAGAAGGACCAAGAUCAUCUGGUUUGGUUUGCAGCUGGCUCAAAGAUCAUACUCUUCGGAAACCCAUCCUGAAAGAUACUAAAUUGUGGUCUGACAAGGGAUUUGUCAUUGCGUGACUGUCCAGGAGGUGGAUAGUGUGCAGUCGGUAGCACUGUGAUCUUUGCACUGGGGCUAAGCAUCACGUUGCUUCCUUCUCCCUGAAAGCAAAGGAAUGUCUUUUUAAAUCAACAUCUACAUGAGGUGGAGCUUUAAUUACGUCUUCCCUUAACUUUUCAUUUAUAUCUAUUUUAUUUAUGUCAAAACCAGUUGCUGAGUGUAAGAAAGUGAAAACUUAGCUGAUUUUCAAAAGCAACUAGAAGCAGCUGUCCAUGUCAAUUCUGUACUGUCCAGCCUAGGUUGGGGUCAGUCUUGUGAUGGAAUUCUUUCUCUUACUGUGCUGAUGAUGCCUGUGCUGUGUUUCUAAACGCCUUGAUCAGCAGCCAACAUGGUUUACUUAAAACAGCUUGGGGUAUGUUCCAACAGGAAUGAGUAAAGCCACUGUACAUACUCAAGAGUAUUUGGACAAAAGCCAGUGAGGAAUCAACUUGAUUGGAAGCUGUCGUCACUAGCAGGUGCAAAGAGACUGAGGGCGAAUUGUGUUGCCUGUCCAGAGAGGAGCAGCUGUGCAUGUGGGUCUUGUGGAGGCUUGUGAACUCUAACAAAGGUGCAAGAGCUGUGCCAUCUUGGAGCAGGAAGUCCAGCAGGCCAGAAGUUGGGAGAAAGGGAGAGGAGGAGCCAGAAAUUAUAAUCUAGUGAUAAGCAUGCCUAAUUUUUCCACUUAAAAUUGACAUACGGUGUUGAAAAGAAAGGUAAAUGGCUGGCAGUAAGGAGGAACACUGCAUCAAACUCUGGCCUCUUCUCAGUAUUAAUAAAUACCUCUGUUGCAGACAGGUCUAGAAGUUGCUAUUUGCUCUUCUUGUCCAACUAGCAUCUUUUUUUUUACACCUUCUUAUCCCUUCUGAGGCUCUACACCGUCCUACUUGCACGCAGCUGUGUUUUCAAUGUGACUGUCGGCUGACAAAUAUUUGAAAUAUGUCUUCACUGGUAAUUCCUAACUUCUAGUUUUAAGGGGUAACAAUGCUACUACAUAAUUACAAAAAAAAAAAAUCUGUUAAGCAGAGAUCUGAUGCAGGACUAAAGAAUGAUAAUAGUAAACAUGUAUUUACAUCUUUUUUCCAUAUUAAAAGAAUAUUUGUGUGUAGUUUGUGGACUUUUACUUUGGCUAUUAAAAGCACUAAGACAAAAACGCGAUGAAAGAAGAAAAUGUAAUUGAAAAGGUGGUGAAAGCACAAAACAUAUAGUCAGUUUACAGUUUCUAAGACAGAUAAGGGAAUUUUGAGAGACAGAGAAUAUAAAAUGAGCAAAAGUGCAGCUGUAGCUGUCACUAAACUCAGGGUAAAUCCUCCUGUCUUUGCACCUUGUAACACAAUAGGUAUCGUUAACUGAGUUAUUCAAAUGUCUUCUUUAAUCAUGUGACUUUUGCAGCAAUCUUAAAUCCUAAACUAUUACAUUUCCUUUACAUUUACAUUACUAUUACUAUGACAUUAAAUCCUAAACUAUUUCCGGAAACAAUUUCAGAUUUUUCAUUGGAAAAAGCUUGCAGAGAUGUAAUGGAAGGCUCAAAAGCCAGUCAAAGCACAGGGUUUUCUGUAUCAGGCAUUACACAGAAGUUUGUCUUUGUUUUUAAUUCAGGGUCAAGGAUAAAAUGUCCUCAUUUUUUGUUUAGAGUAUCUAUAGCCCUUAUUUUCAUUACCAGCAAUCCCCAGAAAUUGUUUUGGUUUUCCAAUCAAGAAACAGAAGUCAACGAAAAGGAAAAUCAAGCACACAGUUUUAAAAGAGGUACUAUCUCUAAAUGUAAAGAAAUCCUUCAACCAACAAACCUUCUGUAAAUGUGCUUUACUUGGACAGGAAACCAGGACCUUGUAUAUGAUGAAGAGCAGACCUUUGGAGUUUGGGAUGACAUUUAGGAAAGAAAAAUCCCCCCACAUGUUAAAUGGCCAUUUACUUCUUUUUGAUACUUAUCUGGAAAAAAAGUCAUAUGAAGAGCAUCUGAGUCUGCUGUUACUCUGACUUAACUUUUAGGAUGGUCUAAUUUUCUCAGCUGAAUUUGCUAUCCAUGUUCAUUAAAGCUUUGAUUUAGUACUGGCUGUUUUAAUGAAAGAUGGUCCAGAAUUACAAAGAAAUAAAAGCAACUGCUAAAAUA